CGAGGAGCCUUUGAUGGAGGGAGAUCGUGUGUAACUUGUCCAGAGACACACAGCUGGCGAGGAGCAGAGACGAGAUUUUCACCAGACACCCCCAUGAAAGGAUCAUCGCGACCUGCCUGUUGAUAACUGCUGCUUUGGAUCAUGAGGCCUCUACAGCAAAUGCUCACAAGAGCCAGUAGGAACUGCGCAGGGUCAGAGUACGGAGCCUGUCCCAAAAGAGACAGAGAUUAGGCUGCACUGGACCCGGGGAAUGAGGACCUCUGCCAAGCCCAGUAAGAACAUCUGAUGCUCCUAUCAACCUGAGAGAUCGCAUCUGUGGUGUGGCACUGCCUGAGGAGACAAGAGCAAACUUUUCUCCACCCCAGAUCAGGCUAAUCGGAAAGAAAGGCGUCUGCAGAAAUGCAGCCUGGCGAAUGGGUGAGCUCAAUGGACGGCACACAGGAACAUGGGUGAGGGGUUAUUCACAGGAGCCCGGGGAACACAAAGGCAGCCAUGUCCCUGAAAGCCGGCCCCGCCUGCCUUCUCCCACUAGUCUCGUCUGCACAGCUGCUGGGGGCUCUUUAGAGAAAGGCCUUCCUGUGUGUCCUGUACCCUCCGCUCCAGAGUCUUGUGGACCUUUCUCCUUCCUCUUAUAAAAUAUCUUCGCGCAUGUGCUCCAGGGCAGCAGGAUGGAUACAUAUGUCCUCCAUGCUACUGACCCAGGCAGAGGGGCGCAUUCCUGCUUCAGCCUCCGAGACCCCGCAUUCCGCUGGCCAGCAGAAGGGAAUUUUUCUUACAGCAGCUUCGAGCCUUGGAGCCCCACAUGGCGGUCUGUUUGAAGUUGUUUUAUUCUGCUCAGAGCUUCUUCGUCUGGGACUGGCACAGUGGCUCUGGUUUGCACUCUGUGCUGACUCCGCUGCUGGGAGAGGGUGGGACAAGGACCUGCGAGGGGGACAGAAGAUUGGCUCCAUGGACACAGAGCAUCACAGAAAGUUCGGGAAACAGACGCAUCCUGAAUUCCUUUCCUCCAAAAUCAACUCCAGCAACAUCAGUACGUAGAUUCAGAAA